GAUUCCUCUUUUAUAGCUUGUGGACGUCUAAUCCAUUGAUUCUAUCUGAAACGACGUUCUCAUCUAUAGCCUGCAACCACGACCUAGAAAAAUUGCACCAGCCCCCCGCCGCCGCCGGCUGGCAGAUCCGCGGGCCUAUUGGGCAGACGCGUUCAUGGCCGCCGACGUCCCCGGCCGUGCUUCCCAGGUGGACGGCUUCAACCAGCACGUCCAGCACGCAUACCCGGCCACUCCGGCCGGAUUGAAUCAGCGAGAAUCCAUCGAAGGGUAUGUAUUCUCAGCACAUGAUUUGCUCGACAGUGGAGAUGGCAUGCGUCCCCACAAGUCUCGACGACGGAGGACAUGCGGCUGGCAGCGGAGGAUGGAGACGACAUGCAGGCAAUGACGGCUAGACGACAAGAAGAUGAGAUGCAUACUGCUGCACUGCCACGCUGGAUACCUGAGUUGAAUGCUCAUCUUCCGCUAGCGACUUCAUCCGUUACAGACUAUUUGAACUAGCACGGUUAUGGCUGAUGCAUUGCGCCGAUGGCCAUAUGGAAUACACCCCUUUAAAUUCAUGAUUUUCCUUAGCAAAUUGUACUCCUUUUGAAGUAGCAUAUGCCAUCUAAAUAAUUCUGCA